rnacentral:lncRNA from 1 species
GGGAGAGACUCUUUUGCAGGGUCUGCUAUGACAGGACAAGGGGAAAUGGUUUCAAACUGAAAGAGGGGAGAUUAAGGCAGGAUAUAAGACUAAAUAUAAGUUUUAUAGAAUAGCUAGAAGUUUGCUGUAGUAAGGACAGUGAAGCACUGAAACAGCUUGCCCAGAGAGGUGGUGGAUGCCCUGUUCCUGGAGACAUUCAAGGUUAGGCUGGACCAGGCCCUGAGCACCCUGAUAUAGUUGUAUAUGUCCCUCUUUAUUGCAGGGGAGUUGGACUAGCUGGCCUUUAAAGGUCCCAUCAAACUCUAAGGAUUCUAUGAUUCUAUGUGUUUUCUCAGAGCAGGCUGCUCCUGCAGAUGCAUUUGGAGAGCAGAAUAGGUUUCCAGCUAUAGAAUGCAAUCGGGAACAGUCAGCAAUAUGGCAGUUCUGAGCUUACAAAGUGCCUUACCAGCAAGGCUUUUCACUACUCUGAGCCACUCCAGCAGAAAAUAAGGUAGUUUUUCCACCUCAUCUGUGCUCUCCUCAUUUCCUUUGGGAAGUCAGGUUUCCAUAGGAAACCAUGCUGUUGGAAGCUGAUUCUUCCAGAGGUCUAACACUAGCCUCUGUAAGUCAGGAAGGCAGCUUAGCAGGCCCACUGGGAAGUAGCAGAUGGAUAGGAAAAUGACAUGCUUUCCAAAAGUAUUUAAAUAUCAACUCUCUUUUGUUACAGCUGUGUAAGAGCCAUAUAAAAUCAAGUAACAUGUAGGAGAGAAAAGGGGUCAUGAAGGAGGAGUUUGAGCAAAAAGUAAUGCUAAAAAAGAAAAAAAAAUCCAUUGCAAAUGGUAAUGUAAAUAAGGUAAAACUUGAAAACUAUGAAGCAAUACUGCAGAUAGUCAUGUCUGAAGGAAUACCUAGAGGGUUCUUUUUGGUGGUGAUCUUCACUCCUGGAUCUGAAUUUUUCUGGACUGUCUCCCUUACCACUUCUGCAGGACACAAUUGCAACAGAAUUUUCCUUGAAUCAACGGAGGACUAUUACUUGAUGAGAUCAUUGUUUUCAGGAAGUGUUAUAGAAAUGCGAUUACCAGACACUGAGGUUUUUUAACGUAUAAAAUAGGAAAGAGAGAGGACAAGCUGUGGUGAAGAAAAUGCAAGCAUUGUACAACUCAACAGACCUCCUGUCCCAGAGAGAUUUAUUUACUGGAAAUUACGACAAUGAUUUAUGGGCAGCUGGAAUUUGCAUGCAUUGCUCCGAAUCUGUGGAAGAAUCUAUGUGGUUGUUCAUGGCCUUCAGAAACAUGGAUGCUGCAAAGCAGAGCUAUGGAGAAUAUGGAAAGCAGGCUCAAAAAGCAUCUGCAAAUCUGUGCCAAUAUUAUUGCCUCUGUCAUCAAGCAAUGGAAAGGUUUUUCUAGUUAAAUUCAAGUAAUUAAAUCUCCCUGCUCUCAUUAAAAAAAAUACAACUGUCUGCUGCUGGUCUGAAGAAUUGCACAGAGUGAACGUAAAUUUUAAUUUCAUGGUGCAAGUGUUAAAUUAUUGCCAUCUAAGCUGUCUGCCAGUGUUACAUGAAAUCCCACCACAUUUUAAUAAUUCUCCCUUUGUUUUGGAUGGAAAUACCACGUGUUGUGAUUUGGAAGUUUUUAUGUGCAAUUAGAGCCCUGAGAACUACAACAUAAUCACAUUCAAUUCACCUAAUUGGACAGCGAGGAAACUGUCAUUUCUGAAAUGGUUUGUGUCUUUUGGAAUGUCUGUGUGUAUACACAUGCGUAUAAAAUGAAACAUUUUCUCACCCAUCCUGUGUUAAAAUGUAAUAGAAACUCCUGCUAACUGAAGUUGAAGAUAUAGCUGGGUGUUCUUUAGUAACCUCAAAACAUAUACGUGUGCGUGUAAAUAAAAAACUGUCCUUCUAAACACAAGGAUCCUUCCCUCCUACUUACUUUGCAACAUCUUAGUAAGGAUUUGCCAUCAAUUCCCUCUCUUUACAGUGCAUUUGAUGACAUUUUACAGAUCAUCAUACUAAAUAAGUAAGAACCAUCCUCUGAUUUAGAAGAAAAACCUUUAUUUAUUUCAAUUUAUUUUGGGAGUUCAGAAGUAAUGACAAACUUGACAAUCUUCAUGACAAACAUGACAAUCUUCACAUCACUUUAAGCUGUGUGACCAAAAAGCCAUUAGCUUCACAGAAACAGACAAUACAUUUCAUCCUGAAACAACACUUAUGAUCAACAUUUAUGCAAUCUAUAGGUACUUCCUAUAUUUGUAUCAAUGCAAGUAAGAAGACAUGGAGUAUCAAACCAGCAAGGGCUUAGAAAUAUCAAGCCCAAGAGUUUACCCAUUUACUUCAGUGGAAAAUAGUGCUAGUAAAUAUCAAUACAUAUUUUAAUCUUUUAUUUCAGUAAUUUCCAUGUAAAAGCAAACAUAUUCUGCCAACUUUAUUCAUUGUCUUUGAUCUUUUUUUGAAGCAUAUUAUGAUAGAUUUCUGAAUCUUUUAAUUCAAUGUUGAAGUAGAUAUUAAGUAUAUCACAACACCAAUCCACACUAAAUAGAACUUUUGUUUUUUGUUCUUUUGCUGAAAUGUCUGACAGUAUUUCAAGAAUAAUUUAAUUAUGAACUUUAUAUUAACAAAAGACAAGUGAUUUUUUAUUCCAUUCAGUGUGGAAUAAGAUACUACCUAUAUUUGUUAAGCCCUGUGUAUCAACCAGAAUUUGCAAAGGGAAGUUAUCAACUUCAGAUACUCAUUCUCCAUUUCCCAUAAAUAUGUUAAAAAUACAAAGUCAGCUCCUAAGUUUUUCAUCAAAUAAACUAGCUUAUUAAGAUUAAGUGGCCUGAAACCACCAUCUGUGAGUUCACAUUUAUAUCUAGAAAACCUGUAUAAUCAUGUGUAUUGAGAGUAAGGCUUAGUGUUGGAAGGCCCAACCUUGUAAACAAGCUUUGUUUACACAAGAAGACAAUAGGACUCUUCUUUUGUUUCAGAGUUUACAUGUUCAGAGGCUGAGAUCACUAUUUUUGAAAUGUGAUGAUGGGAAUACAAAGUAAUUACCUUUAUGAAGGUUUUACAAAGAAUCCUACUGUUUAAGUCAGACAGAGGUACAUGCCCGCUUCACCCUGAGCCCUUCUGCGAAUGGUCAGAAACAGAAUACUGUGUGAUCUCAAAAAGAUUCAGAGCAAACAUGGAAGACAGUUAUGUUUAAAUGACACUCUGGUUGGGCAGGCACUGAACGCAGUAACAGUUUCAACAUAGACACCUUAAACCUUCCAGUAUUCUAUUUUAGGUUUGUUCUUCAUUCUUGCAUCACAGCAGGAGUUGUACCCUUUAUCAGUGUUGAUGUCUUCUUAAAAGAGGGUCUGUGACCGCAUUUGAAGUAUCUCUACUACCAGUUGUGGUGAUUUCACCCUGAUGUGCAGCUAAACUACUACAUCAUUCUCCUGUUACUCCUACUCAAAGGAAGAGGGGGAGAAAAUGAAAUGAAAAAAGGCUCAGGGUUUGAGAUUACCGUCACUGAUCAGUGAUUAUGAGAAUAAAUAAACAUAGUGUGGAAAAAUCUUUGUAUAGUCAUUAAAAUACCCAAGUGUGGCAUUCUAGUAGAGAUUUAAUAAGGAGAAGAAACUGACCCUCAGACUUAGGAAUUCAUUUUCUUUACUUUUCUACAAGGACAGACAUACAUCUCUCUAUCUAAUUUAUAUAUACAUACGUAUAUAUAAAGCAAAGCUUUUAAAGAAUUUUUAUUUAUCAUUGUAAAAUCUCUACUUAGAAUUGGAAAGAGAUAGAAAAAAAAAAAGUAGACUUUGAUUAUCACCUUGAUACAUCUAAGUGUUUACAGUGGGAGCUAAGCUGUAGCAUAGCAAUGUAAUAAAAAUAGAAAGUAAAGUGACGUAAAAAGUGCACUGAGGACUACCUUAUAACUAAUUCCAAACGUUCAAGAAUAGUAAAUGGUUAACAGUGAUGCAAAAGGAAAUUACAGAAAAAACAAUCAAAAAGGACUCCUAAACAAUGAAAGGAAACAAAAAAUUAAUAAAGCAGAAGACUGAAAAACAGAUAAGGAGAGCAAAACGGUGAAAGAUUUCACAGAAGAUUAUGAAAUUAGCACAAAAAAUUUUUAAACAAUCCUAAGAAUAAACUGUCAUUGAAGAACAGAAUAGGGAUUGUGGAGGAUCAUUUUUUAAGGGAUGAGGUAAAAAAAGAUGGAAAAUUUAAACAAAUUCUUCGCAUAGCUGUUCAGAAAGAAAUGUCAGCUCGCAGAGCUGUAGAAAUAUAGGUACAUAUUUUCUGGAGCAAAAGGAAGGAUAAAACACCUAAGUAAACACACACUGUAUGUGACAUAGUACAGAUGACAAUCUUAGCAUGUAUCACAUAAAAUAAUUUCUCAGUGCUAAAGCAUAUGCACUUCAGAAUUCACAGAAAGGGACAAAAAACAGCAUCACUCUUCACAAGACUAAUUUACAUCACUUCACCAUUCAGAUAACUUUUCCUUUUCAAAAUGUUGCUUUGAAGUCACAUGGGCUACUUACAUGACUGACAACUCUAGGACUGCAGUGAAAAAGAAGUUUCAGUGGAAUUAAAGAAAAAGUAACGGGAAGUGUGCAGGAGGUAUCUGUGCAAAGAAGGGCCCCAUGCAACUCCUCUCACAGCUUGCCUCUAAAAACUCAAGAACUGGGUUUAAAUGAGAGAAACACCUUGUCUUUCUGGCAAGUUUUAGCAAUGCCUUCUAUGCAGGAAAGCAAUUUGCUUCAAGACCAAACAGAAAUGCACACUGGUUAAGAGUGAUAUAUUACAAAAACAACAGAGUAUAGCUAAAUUCAGCAAAUUAUGAAGCAAUGGCUAUUUCAGUGAGAGUCAGAGAUUCGUCUAAUGAGAUCCAGGAGUUUCAGCUCUGAACAAAAAGUGAUGAAUUCAAGCUUAAAUUCCUACAAGUAACCCCUAUUCUACAUUAAAGGUAACCAUCCAUCACAUUUUUAACUACAUCUACAAGGGAGUUCAGUAACUUCAGUCUAAAAAAUUCAAAACACAGACAUAUUUUCAGCCAAAACAAAGCCAGAGCCAGCAGUAAUUUUAAUUCUUUUCACUAAGUAUUGUUCUGGCCAUAAGACUAUGUGUAAAAUGGAUGUGGUUGAAGCCACAAUGGACUGUAAGGUUUAUAGGAUGAACAAGUUGCUAAGGAAGAGCUUGCAUGCCUAAAAACUUACAUUAUUCCAGCUGGAGUGCAUCCUGUAACAACAGUACUUCUUUAUUCUUCCAUAUCUUCCCUAAAAAGCUGAGCGCUCUGGCUGAAGACAGGCCAGGAGAGGCGCAUGGAUGUUUGCCUUCUUCAUGUUGCCUGAAAACCUAGUCCUUGUCUCAUCUGGGAACAGGACAGUCAUGCCAAGUGGAUGCAUCUCCCUGCAUCUGUGGAGAGACAGCAAAUGUGCUGUCUGGAAAGUAUCUGUGUUCUAGGAGGUGAGAAACUGGCUUGGGCUGUUUGAUUUCACUUCUACUCAGAGAAAUGGGGCAAUGAACUUUCUAAUAAACAGGUUUGGUUCACAGAGGGAUGACUCCACCAUCGAUCAUUCCACCAGAGGAAUAACUCAAGAUUCGAAAAUUUUAACCAGAUAAUUUUAUCAAAAGAAUAAUAAAAAAAAAAAAAAAAAAAAAAAAAAAAAAAGGACCAAGUAAUGACUUAAAACAAUUGCUGUGAUAUUACAUCUACAUAGGAUCUACUGGCCUAUAUGUCAGUUUUAAUCUGCCACUGGUUAAAUCCUACAUACUGAGCAAAAUAACUUACCAACACAAUACAUGCAAAGUAAAUAAAUACUCAAGCAACACUCUAUGUCCCACAUCCACUCAGAUACCAGAAGUGUGUAUUUCCAGUCUGUGAAAUACAAUGAUAAGUAAAAACAGUGAUUCUCCAUGAGUGCAUUACUCAGAAGAAGCAAUGUUAAGGCAGUCAGUGUGAUCUUUAAAAAUCACUCCCAGUAAAUAAAUAAAUAAGCACCUCUACCUGCACAGCUAUCUGAAGACAAGUUAACAAAUUCUGUUUUCCACUUAUUAGCAAAUCAGUUGUUCUGUAAAGAAUACAUGAUCAAAACCUACAGCAACAGCUGGCACAUGUAUAAAGCGGGGCAAAAAAAUUAAGAUGAAGUAUUUCUGACAAAAAAAUAUAUGAAACAAAACAAAGUUGAAAACUGAAGCAGAUAUCAGAUAACCAUUUUGUCAUUUAUAAAAUACUUUUUCAGGACAAAAGGGGUUGCCAUACCUUUUCACUCAGCAUAUCCUCAGAGUCACAUAUUAAGCUGAUCAAAUCCGAGGGUACUGCAGUAAGCUGAAGCUUGAAGCUGCCUCCACUUCCUUCAUUUCGUUUACAGUUUUGUUUGGGGGUUGUUCUUUUUUUUCUUUUUAGCUUGCAGAAACCUGAGGGAAAAAAUAUUUUGGGGGUUACUAUCGAAAUAGUUUAUUCAGUAGUCAAUUAACUGAAAAAAACAAAUAGUUCUAAACUGAUCUCUUAUAUACCAUGCCCCUUUUUAUAUCAUAGUUAUUGGUUCCAUUCUGUUGUUAUAUUUUACUGAAAACAUUAUGAAUAUAAAUGAGAAUAGUGCACAAAGAGCAGAGGUGAAGAUAUGUCCCAUUAGAAAUCUGCUUUUUUACUUACAUUUACUGAGGUUAUCAAGUACCUCUUUAUGAACUCUUCAUCCCUUUCUAAAAGGUAAAGUUGAAAUUGGGAAAUAUAUUGCAUCAGUUAUUGGGCAUUCUGGGGUUUUCCAUUAUUUUAAAAACCUCCUAUGUGCCUAAUUAUAGCUAAUAAGUACUGUUUAGAAACAUAGCAGAGAACUCAUGAUUUCCUUCUUCACCCAAUGCCCAGAAAAUCCAUGUCCGAGAACAAAAUCUUGAAGGUAUUUGUGAUCAUGACCCAUUCUCAUUAUCUGUAUCCAUUCUAAGAUUUUUAUAUUAUAUGAAUGAAUAUUUUAAAGUGAAAUUAUAGUAUUCAAUGGCAAAUUACAACUACAUGUGACCAAGAGAGGAUUAAACCCAUCAUUUUGCUUAAGAGCUCUGAUGGCUGGAGUAAUUGGAUGAUAGCUGUAGGGCAUCUUUUUGGUCUGUAAUUAGGUCAUUUCUUUCUCAUCCCUUCACUGUGUGUAUAAUUACGAAUUAAUUUGAAAUCCCACUGUGAGUAAAGAAAGUCAGUUUAAUAUAACGGAAGUGCAAAAGCCACAAUAUAUUACUUUUUAAAAACUGCUUAUUUCAAAAUACUCAGUCUGGCCAAAAGUUAUAUCCCUAUGUACUGCAAGGCUUAUAUUUGGUUUCUUUGCUAACUUUGUACAAGUGCUGCUCUGAAAGUAAUGCCUCCUGUUUUAUUAUGUUGGUGUGCAAUGUCAGAGGUGGAUUUUGGUGGUACAUCAGGAGAGGUUGAACCUUCACACCAGUAUUCCACUACAUUUUGUUGCUGUGUGACAGAUGGCAGCAGAGGGUCAGUCUGACAAAAUGGCUUCUGACACGGAAGCAUCUGAGAAGAAAAGAUGUGGAACUGAAUUCCUCCAUGUGGUAAAAAAAUUGCAUCCAUUGACUUUCACUGAUGCUUGCUGAACAUUUAUGGAGAUCAAACAGUGGAUGUGAGCUCAGUGAGGUUGUGGGUAAUGUGUUUCAACAGCAGUGAUAGUGGCAGUGGUUCACCUCCACCGGUGCAAAUUUUUACAAGAACAGCAAGCAGGUUCUCGUUCAUCGUUGGCAAAAAUGCAUAGCUAAUGACAGUGAAUAUGCAGCAAAAUAAAGUUUGUAUUUGAGAAUUUUCUCUAUGAAAUAGUGUUAUUGUGCUCUUUGUAUUUGUUGCAGUUUCUAUGGAAAUAAACAGCAAGUAUUACUUUUGAAUCAAUCUACGUUCCUGGAUGUAUUUUCUCUCUUAAAAUAAAUGAAUUUUCAAAGCACCACACUUUGCUCCAGUAUCUGUCAGUAGGUGUCAACAGCACAAAAAGGUAGUGGAAAGAAAUAAAAAGUAACCAUGAGAGUCUUGACAGACAGUAUUAGCAUCAGAGAACUUAGAGGCCACUCUCAACACAGUCAACCAUUUUAUCCUUUAGUCCUGCCAUUAUUUCCUUCCACUGAAACUACCUUUCUGCUUUUACCCUGAAAGUGUUAAACACUGCACAACCCUAACUAGCAUACCUGCUACUAUGUGCAUCAGGAGCUCACCAUUUCAUCAUCUGGCUGAGAUAUGCUGCUGGCAAGUUCUGCUUCCCUUCCUUUAUCACAACAUUGUGGUCGGAUGCAUCAGACCUCCCUCCCGCCUUAGCAAUGAUACAGGUAAAAACAUGCAUUUCUGACAAAUGGAUAACCCCAAGCAGAUCUGUGGAGACAAUGUUUUGACUUGCUGAACUUCCUGUUUCAUUCUGUUUUCAUCUGUCCCCAGAAACCUUGAAAGGGGUCGGUGAGAGGGUCCCAGGUGUGAUCUGAGCACCAGUGAUGUCAACAGCGAGCCAGGGGCUGUGCAGGGUGUGAAGUUAAAGGGAAGAGCAGAGAAAAGACUGUUGGUGCAGAGAACAAGGGUACUGAGAUUUGACUGUAUUUGUAGCUGUGCUGUAAAAAACUGUAAAACAUCCCAUGCCGUUAGCAUAAGAUUAGAUUUCUGCCAGGAAAAAAAAAAAAAAAAAGAGAGAGAGAGAGAGAACAAAAAGAAAUGGAACUGCUUAGAUAUAAGUUCCAAAGUUCAUUAAGAGGGUUCUUUUCUGCAUAGCUCCAAAGCUAAGAUGUGCUAAGGCAUGUAGAAAAAUAAGGAGGUGUUAAAAACCUACCCAACUUCUUAGCUUUCAAAAAAAGUUCAAAGUCCUAGUCAUCGAUUAUUUACAUGGUGACCUCCAGGCCUAUUUGUGAUGCCAAAAAAAUUGUACUCAGGAAGGAAGGAAGACAUUAUCAAAAAGGAAAGAAUUUCUGUUUAAUCUAAUAAUGCCUUUAUAAAAAUAACCAUUUUCUUUUACAUAUAAUAAAAAAUUCAUUAGAAAAUCUCAACAUAUUUUUAUAUAAAAAUAAUAACUGGCAACAUAGCUAGAAAUAAGAAGCAGAGAAAGAAACUUGGAUGCAUUUCUUGCUUGCAAGAGCAUGAUGAGGAAAUAAGGUAAUCUAGUCUUCCCAUUCUGAACAAAAUAGACAUGAUAACAGAAUAUAUAAAUCAAGACAUUUUUGGAGAAAUAAUGUCACUCCAUAAUUUUUGAAAGUAGAAAUAAUUUAAAAUUCAUGCAUGAAACUAAAUAGGUAAAAUAUGUCAUUUUGAAAUAACAUAACAGUAAAAAUAAUUUGUAAAACUUUUUUUGUUUUUUAACUGAGUCUCAUUUUAUACUUGGAAAAUUUUCUUUAGAAAAUUUUCAACCUCUUCUAUGUAGCUCCUGGGUAAAUAUGGAGGUUUUAUGGAAACCAAACAAAUGAAUUAAAUGACUACAAGAAUUAUUGGCUCUAAAUAUAUACAUUUUCUUCUGAUGCUACUAGAAUGUUACUAGUAUAUACUGUAUGAAUUAUAAAAAAUGUUAUGACAGAUAUGGAAGUAAUAUACUUCGGUGAUAAAUCUUCAAUAGAAAGAAUUUAUUAGAGUCAUAUAGAUCUACU